rnacentral:rRNA from 1 species
UACGAAGGCCCCGAGCGUUAUCCGGAAUUACUGGGCGUAAAGGGCAGGUAGUCGGUCUAUAUAGUCUGAUGUUAAAUCUCACGGCUUAACCGUGAGGCUGCAUUAGAAACGUAUGAACUAGAGUGGGUCAGAGGCAAGCAGAACGUGCAGUGUAGGGGUGAAAUCCGUUGAUAUUGCACGGAAUACCAAAAGCGAAGGCAGCUUGCUAGGACUUAACUGACGAUGAACUGCGAAAGCGUGGGGAUCAAAAAGG